rnacentral:lncRNA from 1 species
CUCGGGUUUAUGAAGCUGCCCAAGACCUUUGGGGAGUCUUGUUCCUCCUAGCAGUGAAGUGAAGAGGAUUUCCUCGAGGUCCCCCUCGUGUCUCAGGAAGCCGGAAAUGCAAGGUGCCUGGCGCGGGGCUGCUAACCCGACGCCGCAGUCCAAAAUGCAGGUACCUAGGCAUAGCCAAAUAGCUGAACGCUGACCCCUCGCGACAUUGCUCGGCUAGGCAAGCUGGAUGGAGGCUAGGCGUCAACCACACCCACCAGCCAGACCUCUCUGAGCACCGAAGCGUCCUCCUAACCCAGGGCCCCUGCUGUCUCGCCAGAGCACUGCAUGCCACUAGGAGUCCGGCCGGCUGACAUCACUUUAGGGCCCCAGGUAAACCUGGCGCGACUGGAUGGAGAAGUUGCGCGGGUUCGAAAGGUCCAGCCUAGCCGGCAAGACCCGCCCAAGGUGCACCUGAAAGCGCUGCCUCACCUUGUCCUUACUCCCCUGGGCUGAAAAUGAUCCCCUCUGGGUAAUCGUUCUGAGGAAUUAGCUAUUUGCAAUUAUUAUUAUUUUUUUCUCAGAAAGCUGUCAAGAGGUGAAGUUAGCCAAAGGGAGGGAAUUGCUAAUGUAAGAAAUUUCGGGUACCUUCAAAUUCAGCUCAAUCCAUCAUCACAAUCAGCACUUAAAGAGCACAUUGUCGCUGGAUGCACAGAGCCACGUGGGUACGACCCUCUAGAAAUAAGGACUGUGAGUCAGUGGAUCUGGAAGGGCUAUGAAUUGCAGUCUCAAGAUCUUCCUGCUUUUAUGUUGAUCACAUGAUUUUACUAAGACUACGACGUGAAAUCCAAGAAGCAAGUUGUAUUUUUGUGCAUUCAUAGGAGAGACAUUUGGAUUGAUGCACAUGGACCAUUAACCAUAGUUACUGGAGUUUGGGA